rnacentral:rRNA from 1 species
UACGUAGGCAGCUAGCGUUGUUCGGAAUUACUGGGCGUAAAGCGAGUGUAGGCGGUUUGCCAAGUCCGUUGUGAAAUCUCCCGGCUCAACUGGGAGGGUGCGGCGGAAACUGGCAGGCUAGAGUACGGAAUGGGAGAGUGGAAUUCCUGGUGUAGCGGUGAAAUGCGUAGAUAUCGGGAGGAACACCUGCGGUGUAGACGGCUUACUGGACCGUGACUGACGCUGAGGCACGAAAGCGUGGGUAGCAAACAGG